rnacentral:misc_RNA from 1 species
GCGCCGCCGCCCCCGACGCACCUGUCUCCGCGCCCACCUGUCUCAGUGCCCGUAUUACACCAAAACAACCAUGCCUUCGCCUUCUUAACUUAAAACAGUGCUACCACCCGUUCAAGUGACCGUUUUGGAUAUAAACACCUGCUGGACCGCACAGUGAACCGGUUAAGUUGUGGAAUGCGGCAAUAUUAACUACACUGCAGACUCCUGAAUCUGGACCUCUCACCCCUUAAGUUGCCGGCGACGAAGGCAGCUGUUGGUGAUGCAUCAACGAUGAGUCGCCGCGCGCGGCCGUGACAUGGGAGCGCAGGCAUGGGCUGGCGCGCCGUGCACACGCCGCACAUCGCCGCCGCCUUGUUGCUGCUGCUGCUAGUGCACAUACCAGUAACGUGCCACCAGGAACACCAGGAUGCAGUGCACAUCACCGCGAUCCUGGGCGAGAGCGUCGUGUUCAACUGCCAGGUGGACUUCCCCGAGGAUGUCCCCGUGCCGUACGUGUUGCAGUGGGAGAAGAAGGUAGGCGAAACGGGCCAAGACAUCCCGAUCUACAUCUGGUACGAGAGCUACCCGACGCACAGUGGCGAGGGCUACGAGGGCCGCGUGUCGCGCGUGGCAGAGGACUCGCCCUACGGCGCCGCGAGCCUCAACCUCACCAACAUUAGGGAGUCGGACCAGGGCUGGUACGAGUGUAAGGUGGUGUUCCUCAACCGGUCACCGAACCAGCACAAAAAUGGCACCUGGUUCCACCUGGACGUGCACGCGCCACCGCGCUUCUCCAUCACACCGGAAGACAUUAUAUACGUUAAUUUAGGGGACGCGAUAAUCCUGAACUGCCAGGCGGAGGGCACGCCCACGCCCGAGAUCCUGUGGUACAAGGACGCCAACCCCGUGGAGCCGUCGGGCACCGUGGGCAUCUUCAACGACGGCACGGAGCUGCGCAUCAGCAACAUCCGCCACGAGGACAUCGGGGACUACACGUGUAUCGCGAGGAACGGCGAGGGCCAGGUUUCGCACACGGCCCGGGUCAUCAUCGCCGGAGGGGCCGUCAUCACGAUGCCACCAACGAACCAGACGAAGCUAGAAGGCGAGAAAGUGCAGUUUUCCUGCGAGGCCAAAGCCCUACCCGGGAACGUGACAGUGAAAUGGUUCCGCGAGGGCGCCCCCGUGGCCGAGGUGGCAGCACUCGAGACGCGGGUCACGAUCAGGAGGGACGGGGCGCUGGUCAUCAACCCUGUGGCGGCUGACGACUCGGGGCAGUACCUCUGCGAGGUCUCCAAUGGCAUUGGUGAUCCGCAGAGCGCGUCUGCAUACCUCAACGUUGAAUACCCAGCGAAGGUGACAUUCACGCCAACAGUCCAAUACCUGCCCUUCCGCCUGGCCGGCGUGGUGCAGUGCUACAUCAAGGCCAACCCCCCUCUCCAAUACGUGACCUGGACCAAGGACAAGCGCCUCCUCGAACCCUACCAGACCAAGGACAUCGUCAUCAUGAACAACGGAUCUCUGCUCUUCACCCGUGUCAACCAGAACCAUCAGGGCAGAUAUACUUGCACGCCGUAUAACGCGCAGGGCACGCAAGGAUCCUCAGGACCGAUGGAAGUAUUAGUACGGAAACCGCCAGCAUUUACAGUGGAGCCAGAACCCUUGUACCAAAGAAAGGUGGGCGAGAGCGUGGAGAUGCACUGUGAGGCGCAAGAAGCGGAGGGCACUCAGCGACCGACGGUGGCGUGGCGGCGGCGCGACGGCUUACCGCUGCAGAAGUCGCGAGUGCGCGCCUUAGGGGGGAAUAUCACCAUCGACACACUGCGGCGGCAGGACUUUGGCAUCUACCAGUGCGUCGCGGCUAACGAGGUGGCAACAAUCACAGCGGACACCCAACUGGUGAUCGAGGGCACGCAGCCUCACGCGCCCUACAACGUGACCGGCACGGCCACCGAGUUCCAAGUGACGCUGCGCUGGCAACCUGGCUACGCGGGCGGACCGGAUUACAAGCAGGACUACACCAUCUGGCAUCGCGAGGCUGGCUUCUCGGAGUGGACUAAAGUACCCGUCACGCCCUCUGGUGCUACCUCGGUAACGAUAAACCGCCUACAACCAGGAACGACCUACGAAUUCCAAGUGAACAGCAAGAACACGAUCGGAGAAGGAAUGAUGAGCAAAGCGAUCACUAUUCGGACUCUCGAUGUGGGGGCCAAGCCGAAACCGGCCGCCACGCCGGCGGGCCCGCCCGACGAGAAGGUGUUCCCUACCGCACCCGAGGCUACCGGUCCAAAAUCGGGUCCCCCCCGCAACCUGACAGUGACCGAGGUCCACAAUGGGUUCCUGAUCACGUGGCAAGCGCCGCUGGAGCGCGCGUCGCUAGUUCAGUACUACACCAUCAAGUACCGCACCGACGCGCACUGGAAGACGCUCAACCGCGGCCAGAUCCGCCCGGAGGAGACCAGCUACCUCGUGAAAAACCUAGUCGGCGGCCGCACAUACUACUUCCGCGUGCUCGCGAACUCAGCAUCCAGCUUCGAGAGCUCCGAGGAGGUGAAGUUCCCCGUGCCAGCGCGCGUGAAGCACAAGGCCAUCACGGCCGGCGUGGUGGGGGGGAUCCUGUUCUUCAUCGUGGCCAUCAUCCUGUCCGUGUGCGCGGUCAAGAUCUGCAACAAGAGGAAGAGGCGCAAGCAGGAGAAAGAAAUUAUCCGCUUGCAGCAUACAACAUGGUAGCGGCCCGGUUGACGGAUCUGCGGGCCCACGACAGCACUCAAGUGCCUUUUAAGAAAUUUAGUGAACGCGGAAUAUCGAGUCUAGUGCAGUGCCUACGGCUGACGGCCAACUGGGUGUGGCCGGCGUCGCGCUGCGGGCGCGGGUCGCGCGGGUACUGGGCGCCGGCGCCGUCGCUCGGGUCCCUGCCGCCGCCGCCG